rnacentral:rRNA from 1 species
GACGAACGCUGGCGGCGUGCUUAACACAUGCAAGUCGAGCGGUAAGGCCCUUUCGGGGGUACACGAGCGGCGAACGGGUGAGUAACACGUGGGUGACCUGCCCUCAGCUCUGGGAUAAGCCUGGGAAACCGGGUCUAAUCCCGGAUAUGACUCCAUGACGCAUGUUGUGGGGUGAAAGCCUUGUGCGGCUGAGGAUGGGCCCGNGGCCUAUCAGCUUGUUGGUGGGUGAUGGCCUACCAAGGCGACGACGGGUAGCCGGCCUGAGGGGCGACCGGCCACACUGGGACUGAGACACGGCCCAGACUCCUACGGGAGGCAGCAGUGGGGAAUCUUGCGCAAUGGGCGAAAGCCUGACGCAGCGACGCCGCGUGAGGGAUGACGGCCUGGUGUAAC